AAAAAGAGGGCAAUCAUUCACUCUACCGAUCGCCUCCUUUUGACACCUCGCCGUCUUCGAUUCCGAUCCCAUCACCCCGUCGAAUUCUCCUCCCAAGGUACCUUGGCGACUUCAAGGUUCGUUUGGCAAAGAUUCUGGAUAUUAAGGAGGCCAGCAUUUGUAAUUGUUAGAAAAAUUAUUAUAGAAAGGCAUAAAGGGAAGGUUAUUGAACAAUGUCUAGCUCUACAAAAAUUCUGGAUCCUGCCUUUCUAGGUGCUGGCCAAAGAGUAGGGACUGAA
rnacentral:misc_RNA from 1 species